UUUUUUUUGUUUUUGAAACCGCCUGAAUUUUGGAAACUAAUCAAUUCUCUCAAUCAAUUGAAAUCAUUUUCCACUCAAACCCUAAAUCAUUCUUUCAGCCGUUUCUCUCUGGCUUCACUCUACAUCCUCUUCAAAUCAAACUUGGAUCCAUGGAUUAUUUUCAAUGAAGAAUCUAACUGAUGUUGCUGAAUGUUUGAUAUCCCUCUCCAAUUGCGAAGCAUUGAUACGACUCCAUCAUACAUCGAUUUUGUCUUCAUCAUCCUUCGAAACUGAAGCAUCAUGAUGUGUGUGGAAUUUAAUCCUGUGGAUGAUAAUUAUUUCAUUAGCGAUUCCAUAGACGGCAAAGUACGCAUAUGGGAUGUGUAUGAAAAGUUUGUUAUCUUAUUUAUAGGUGAGAGUUCAACUAGGUUAGGAUCUACAGGUCGUCUCACAAAGCUAUAUUGAAGCACGACGAAAUUGGUGCCUUCCAUAUGUGAUCUUUUUUGUUGCUUACAAUGACGAUGAAUGGUGGGGGGGGGGGUGUUCUUGCUCUUGAUGAGAAGUAAGCACCCGAAACUUGUGGAUAAUACGUUUUUUAUUGAAAUGAACUGUUUGUUUAUGGGUUUGCUUGUGGUUUGGAUAAUCAAUCGCAUAAGUGUAAUUCACAUAUAUUUAUGAGAUUUUGAAAUCCUUAUUAUCGUAAUUAUUGAUCGAUUGUAGCAUCAGUGGUCGUAUUCUGACAAAAGGCUUCCGGCUACAAGUGGCAGCUCCCGGUGCAUAAAGGCAGCAUUGAGUGUUUGUUUAAUGGUGGAAAUGGAGAAUCUGGCAACCCAGACAGCAGAGCCGACUGAUUUAGGGACCAGCUAUGUUAAUCCAGCAAGCACGGUUAUCAUGUUCUUUGUUCCAAUUUGCUAGAUCCAGAGUUUAAACAUUGGCUGAUAUUUAUUAUUCUUGUGUUUAGAGGCGUUGGUGUUGAUUAAGAUAAGAUAAUUUAUAUUGUGUCUAACUGUAUUAACCAUAUAAAAACUUUAUAUAUAUACAGUAAGUUACUACUUGUUUGAUUCUGCUUGAUGAAUAAUGUUGUAUGUUGCUUGACUAGGUUGCUGGACACUUCACGUAUGGUGUAAUGGCAAUUUCGGCUGCCACAUUUGUGUUUUGGAGUACUGUUGGUACACGUAUAUUACCGGUCGCUUUUCAGCAAGGAAGUGCCAUGUCAUUAGCAUUGCAGCUCUCAUGCAUCUGAUGAGCAUUUCGAGCUAAAUUCAAAUGAGAAAUGGUCUGAAACCGAUGUACUGAAGCUAGCUGCUGCAGGAGAAUCCAACACACUUCAUCCAAUUGGGAAAGCUAUUCUGGAAGCUGCCCGGGCUGCUAAAUGUUCUAACGUAAAGGCUGAUGAUGGAACAUUUAUGGAAGAACCUGGAUCUGGUGCCGUAGCCUCUUGUGGGAAGAAGAUGGUUUCUGUCGGUACAUUGGAAUGGGUUAGAAGGCAUGGAGUUGCUGAGAAUCCGUUUAUAGAAACUGAAGAAUUUAAAAAUCAAUCAGUUGUGUAUGUCGGGAUAGAUGGUGUGCUUGCAGGUCUUAUUUAUGUUGAGGAUCAGAUAAGAGAAGAUGCUGCAAAAUCAUUCUUGCGUUCAAAAGAUUCCAACCCAUGACCUCCAUAUAUUAGUAUAUGUUAUAUGUUUGUGUUAAGCCACCCGCGAAGCUCGCGGGAUCUUAGGCUAGUUAGUUAUAAAUUAAAACGAGAUCUUUUAAGUUUUAAAAGUAUAAAUAUAAAAAAAGCUGUUUCUCUUCUGUUCCAACA